UACGAAGGGGGGCUAGCGUUGUUCGGAAUUACUGGGCGUAAAGCGUGCGCAGGCGGCGCGUUAAGACAGGUGUGAAAGCCCCGAGCUUAACUUGGGAAUUGCGCUUGUGACUGGCGUGCUGGAGUGUGGCAGAGGGGAGGUGGAAUUCCACGUGUAGCAGUGAAAAUGCGUAGAGAUGUGGAGGAACACCGAUGGCGAAAGG
rnacentral:rRNA from 1 species